rnacentral:rRNA from 1 species
UGCAAGUCGAGGGGUAACAUUUGUGCUUGCACAAGAUGACGACCGGCGCACGGGUGCGCACCGCGUAUGGAACCUGCCUUGUACAGGGGAAUAGCCCAGGGAAACUUGGAUUAAUGCCCCGUAGUACCGCGACCCGGCAUCGGGAUGCGGUUAAAGUCUUCGGGCGGUACAAGAUGGCCAUGCGUCCCAUUAGCUAGUUGGUAAGGUAACGGCUUACCAAGGCUACGAUGGGUAGGGGCCCUGAGAGGGGGAUCCCCCACACUGGUACUGAGACACGGACCAGACUCCUACGGGAGGCAGCAGUGAGGAAUAUUGGACAAUGGAGGAGACUCUGAUCCAGCCAUGCCGCGUGCAGGAAGAAUGCCCUAUGGGUAGUAAACUGCUUUUAUACGGGAAGAAAAAGAGCUACGUGUAGCUUACUGACGGUACCGUAAGAAUAAGGACCGGCUAACUCCGUGCCAGCAGCCGCGGUAAUACGGAGGGUCCGAGCGUUAUCCGGAAUUAUUGGGUUUAAAGGGUCCGUAGGCGGGCCGAUAAGUCAGGGGUGAAAGUCUGCCGCUCAACGGUAGAACUGCCUUUGAUACUGUCGGUCUUGAGUUAUAGUGAAGUUGCCGGAAUAUGUAGUGUAGCGGUGAAAUGCAUAGAUAUUACAUAGAACACCGAUUGCGAAGGCAGGUGACUAACUAUAUACUGACGCUGAUGGACGAAAGCGUGGGGAGCGAACAGGAUUAGAUACCCUGGUAGUCCACGCCGUAAACGAUGGAUACUAGCUGUCCGGUGCCUUGAGUACUGGGCGGCCAAGCGAAAGUGAUAAGUAUCCCACCUGGGG